rnacentral:misc_RNA from 1 species
AACCAUAGAAACCUGCGGAGUACCUGCGGAGGGAUCAUUACCGAGUUUACAACUCCCAAACCCCUGUGAACAUACCUAUACGUUGCCUCGGCGGAUCAGCCCGCGCCCUGUAAAAAGGGACGGCCCGCCCGAGGACCCUAAACUCUGUUUUUAGUGGAACUUCUGAGUAAAACAAACAAAUAAAUCAAAACUUUUAACAAUGGAUCU